AAUUAUCUCAUUUCUUUUAGUCAUAUUAAACCUAAAAUAGUUCAAAUGUUGAAUUUAUUACUCUAUGUGGUUCUUGUAAAUAUGUUGACUUUUUAUUAUAGGUUUAGGUUUAAUAUUCUUUCCUUCUUGGCUAAAUAAAAACGAAUAGCUAUUCUCAUCUCGUUUUAUUAAUGUGUUAUGUUAUAGUAAACUUCUAAAUUAACAAUUAAAAUUUUAAAUUUUCUUUAAAUUAAAUAAAGGUAACGACACAUAAGUAAACAUGAAAUGAUAUAGAAUUCUUUAUUUUCACAUUUGGGCAGAAAACGUACUAUUUAAGUGGUUUUAAAAAAUAAACAAAAUCCACUCUACAUAAAUUUCAAGAUGUUUUUCCAAAGCAAAAACUUAUUUCCACUCUAAUUCUAGUAACUCGUACUAACGUGUUUUUCAACAAAAAUGGAUGGAAUGGUAUAUUAAUAUCAAGAUUUUGAGGUUGGUAAUGUACUAUUGAUGUCAAUUAAACUUUCUUAAAUUUAAAAAUUAUUGUCGAUAUUCAUUGAAUUUAAUGAUGCUGAAUCGACUCCGUAGUUAUCUAUAUAGAAAGUUGAGGAAAGUAAUUUGGACUAAGGAUAGAAUUUUAUUAUUGUCAUUCAAAAUCCAUGGAUUACUUUGAUGGUUUUGGCUUUCUAUAAUAAAUUAAAUUAAUUUGAUAAUUGAGGUAGGGUUGAAUCUUUAAUCAAUAAUUUAUUGCUCUAUAAACUCUACAAUUAGUGUAUGAUGCAAUAUUUCUAUUUCCUUUAAAUCAAAUAUAGCAUGUCAAUUAUUUACAUAUAAUACUUAUCUUCUGUCGUGUUUCAAUUAAUGUUUACGUGGAUUCGUGGAUUCGUUAAUGUAUACUUUGAACAAAUCUUUAAUAGAAACAUGAAUAUAACAAUGAUAUAAAAUAAACACAAAAUAACAAUAAAUACAUGUUUAAUUGAGAUUAGAUGUUCAAUCAUUCAUACAUGUUUCCUCUUAUACUAAAAGAACAAGUAACUUGUUUUUCAAAUUUAUUUUUUCAAACUCAAACCAUUUUAUCAACGGAUUUCAAUUAAAUAAAAAUCAGGUCAUAUCAAAAUGCUUAUAAGACACGUCAAAAUUUUAGAUUAUAUGAAUGUUUACCGGUUGCUAAAAAUGGUUGAAAAGCAUUUUCCAAAAAAAAAAAAUUCACAAAUUUAUUUAUUUUCAGUCCAAAUCAAAAGGCGUUUGUAUUACUCUUUUACUUAUAUAGUAUUUUUAUCCUCCAACAUGAUUCUACAUGCAAAAUCUACUUUAAUAAACUUAUACCACUUUAUUUUCUUUUUAUUUUUUGUCUUAAGCUAAACCCAUGCAAGAUAAACUUCAGAUCUAGUACAUAAUUUAAUAACUAUUUUUAUCUUAAUAUUCAAUAACCAUGAUUAUAUAUUUCAAUAUUGACAAUUAAAAAGUAAAAUUUAAACUAAAAUCUUCAUUUACUCGAAGAAAAAAGAUCACACAAGUUCACAAAAAAAAGAUUCAAAUUCGAGUAUCAAAAGGAUCCUCCAUAGUUUGAUGUACACCCCCAAGUAGUUGAGGGAAAAUAUGAAUAGUUUUGAACAAAUAGAACGGAAUCACAUCUGAAAAGAUGAAAUAGAGAGAAAAAAAAGUCGAUCUUAUUUUUCUCUGAAUUUAUUUUAUAAAUUAUUUCCCAUUUAUUAACCAACCAAAUCAAACUUCCCAAAAACAAAAAAAAAAAAACUAAAAUAUUGCACUCAGAUUUCCAUCACAGCUGAGAGACGUCACAAAUUCACAUCCAAUAAAUUAAAAGCCACAACACAAAAAUGCAUAUUUAUUUUUGAAACAUUAAAGUCAACAAGUAGUGAUAAUUAGCAGAAAGAAAAGACGAAGAAAAAAAAGGAUAAUCAACCUGGGAAUUGAGAGGAAAUUCCAAAGGUAUAAAAAUGCCAAAAGGAUUAGAAUUGCCCUGCAAACAAUAGCUAGCUAGACUUCAGCUGCUGCUUUAGCCCCCACUUCAACUACUUUUCCUCCGCCACCUCCGACCGCCGUUACCUGAGAUAUGUAUCGAUUAAAACACUACGGCUAGUCAUAAAGAGGCGGGCGAGGCGAUGGGCGCCGGCGCCACCGGUGGUUGUGUUGGAAGGAGAGAUUAUUAAAAAGGUGAGAGAGGGGUAGUGGGUUUGUUGUAGAGAAGAGUUAUUGGUUUGAAGCAUCUUGGAGGGUAUAUGCGUCAGUUCCUCGCAUGGAAACAGGGGACUUGUCGCAUCGGUCACUUCUGUUCCCUGUAUAGUUUAGAAUGUAACUGAGAAAAAUAAAUGGGUUUCAAAGGCUGGAUCCGGUCACCCGGUUGUGACCCAUUAUUCGGGUUUUGUAUUUUGAAACACAAGAUUGUCUACUCA
rnacentral:lncRNA from 1 species